AGUGAACGCUGGCGGUAGGCCUAACACAUGCAAGUCGAACGGCAGCACAGUAAGAGCGUGCCCUUACGGGUGGCGAGUGGCGGACGGGUGAGGAAUACAUCGGAAUCUACUUUUUCGUGGGGGAUAACGUAGGGAAACUUACGCUAAUACCGCAUACGACCAACGGGUGAAAGCAGUGGAUAUUCGGACCUUGCGCGAUUGAAUGAGCCGAUGUCGGAUUAGCUAGUUGGCGGGGUAAAGGCCCACCAAGGCGACGAUCCGUAGCUGAUCUGAGAGGAUGAUCAGCCACACUGGAACUGAGACACGGUCCAGACUCCUACGGGAGGCAGCAGUGGGGAAUAUUCGACAAUGGGCGCAAGCCUGAUCCAGCCAUACCGCGUGGGUGAAGAAGGCCUUCGGAUUGUAAAGCCCUUUUGUUAGGAAAGAAAAGCAGCAGAUUAAUACCCCGAUGUUCUGACGGUACCCAAAGAAUAAGCACCGGCUAACUUCGUG
rnacentral:rRNA from 1 species